rnacentral:misc_RNA from 1 species
GAUGAAGAACGCAGCGAAAUGCGAUAAGUAAUGUGAAUUGCAGAAUUCAGUGAAUCAUCGAAUCUUUGAACGCACAUUGCGCCCCCUGGUAUUCCGGGGGGCAUGCCUGUCCGAGCGUCAUUACAACCCUCAAGCUCUGCUUGGUGUUGGGCCCCGCCGCCCCGGCGGGCCCUAAAGUCAGUGGCGGUGCCAUCCGGCUCCGAGCGUAGUAAUUCUUCUCGCUCUGGAGGUCCGGUUGUGUGCUUGCCAUCAACCCCCAAUUUUUUUCAGGUUGACCUCGGAUCAGGUAGGGAUACCCGCUGAACUUAAGCAUAUCAAUAACGGAGGA